rnacentral:rRNA from 1 species
GACAGAGGGUGCAACCGUUGUUCGGAUUUACUGGGCGUAAAGCGCGUGUAGGCGGCUUCGCAAGUUGGAUGUGAAAGCCCACGGCUCAACCGUGGAAGCGCAUCCAAAACUGCGUCGCUGGAGUCCCGGAGAGGAAGGUGGAAUGCUUGGUGUAGAGGUGAAAUUCGUAGAUAUCAAGCAGAACACCUGCGGCGAAGGCGGCCUUCUGGACGGUGACUGACGCUGAGACGCGAAAGCGUGGGGAGCAAACAGG